rnacentral:lncRNA from 1 species
UUUUUACUUUAAAGCCAAAUUAGGUUUUUUACCCAAUGUCACGGUCCACUGAACAUGGAAAAUGAUAAUGCGAGUGGGGCAUCCGUGUACUUUGGAAACAUUCUUGUUUAAUUUUCAUUUAUGUUCUAAAAGAAAUGCACUACGAAAUAAUUGUGGUCUCGGUCCAAACUGGAGAACACUCCGCACAAAUGUCCAUGCAGAUAUAUAUAUAUUCCUUUAAGAACAUGUAAUACUUAAUAAAUGUUGGUGUUUUUCUUAAUUUAUUAAUCAGGUUUUCCUGAGAGAAUUAGGAAAGGAAUAGAAUCGUUUGUUCCAAAAACAACGAAAGUGAAAGUGAUAGCUUACCCAGAACGUAAAUCCGCAGUGUGGAUUGGUGGAUCUAUUUUAGGAUCUUUAUCCACAUUUCAAUCGUACUGGAUAACAAAACAGGAAUACGAAGAAUAUGGACCAACAAUCGUGCAUAGGAGAGAUUAACGAAUGGACAAUCAAAAUAAUCGGAACUGAGUGGUUCAGUAUAUAAAGCAUUAUGGGUAAUAUCUUCAACAAGGAACAAAACAUUCAACAAAUGGACAAGUCAUUUAAAUAAAACUUAGAAAAUUAUACGUUAUUUUCAAUGUCAUAAAAUUAGCAAAAAUGUAAUGUGAUAUUGAAUCUUUUUUUUUCUUCUCUUGUUUAUUAAAUACUUUAUAUCAACUUGUAUAUACAUGAUGUACUUUUUGUGUUUUAUUUCUGUCUAGAAAAUUUGCUCAAUGACGUUUUCAUCAUUAUGUUCACACAUGCAGUAGUCAUAUAUUAGAUCAUUGGUUAUUAAA